rnacentral:rRNA from 1 species
UACGGAGGAGGCAAGCGUUAUCCGGAAUUAUUGGGCGUAAAGCGUCCGCAGGUGGCACUUCAAGUCUGUCGUCAAAGACUGGGGCUUAACCCUGGAAAGGCGGUGGAAACUGAAGCGCUAGAGUGCGGUAGGGGUAGAGGGAAUUCCCGGUGUAGCGGUGAAAUGCGUAGAGAUCGGGAAGAACAUCGGUGGCGAAAGCGGCAUCCUGGACCGGCAUUGACGCUGAGGAGCGAAAGCUAGGGGAGCAAACGGG